GAUGAACGCUGGCGGCGUGCUUAACACAUGCAAGUCGAACGGAAAGGCCCAAGCUUGCUUGGGUCCUCGAGUGGCGAACGGGUGAGUAACACGUGGGUGAUCUGCCCUGCACUUCGGGAUAAGCCUGGGAAACUGGGUCUAAUACCGGAUAGGACGAUGGUUUGGAUGCCAUUGUGGAAAGUUUUUUCGGUGUGGGAUGAGCUCGCGGCCUAUCAGCUUGUUGGUGGGGUAAUGGCCUACCAAGGCGUCGACGGGUAGCCGGCCUGAGAGGGUGUACGGCCACAUUGGGACUGAGAUACGGCCCAGACUCCUACGGGAGGCAGCAGUGGGGAAUAUUGCACAAUGGGCGCAAGCCUGAUGCAGCGACGCCGCGUGGGGGAUGACGGCCUUCGGGUUGUAAACUCCUUUCGCUAGGGACGAAGCGUUUUUGUGACGGUACCUGGAGAAGAAGCACCGGCUAACUACGU
rnacentral:rRNA from 1 species